rnacentral:rRNA from 1 species
AGUGAACGCUGGCGGUAGGCCUAACACAUGCAAGUCGAACGGCAGCACAGUAAGAGCUUGCUCUUACGGGUGGCGAGUGGCGGACGGGUGAGGAGUACAUCGGAAUCUACUUUUUCGUGGGGGAGAACGUAGGGAACCUUACGCUAAUACGGCAUACGACCUACGGGUGAAAGCAGGGGAUUUUCGGACCUUGCGCGUUUGAAUGAGCCGAUGCCGGAUUAGCUAGUUGGCGGGGUAAAGGCCCACCAAGGCGACGAUCCGUAGCUGGUCUGAGAGGAUGAUCAGCGACAUUGGAACUGAGACACGGUCCAGACUCCUACGGGAGGCAGCAGUGGGGAAUAUUGGACAAUGGGCGCAAGCCUGAUCCAGCCAUACCGCGUGGGUGAAGAAGGCCUUCGGGUUGUAAAGACCUUUUGUUGGGAAAGAAAAGCAGCAGGUUAAUACCCCGCUGUUCUGACGGUACCCAAAGAAUAAGCACCGGCUAACUUCGUG